ACUGAGAGGUUGAACGGCCACAUUGGGACUGAGACACGGCCCAGACUCCUACGGGAGGCAGCAGUGGGGGAUAUUGCACAAUGGGGGAAACCCUGAUGCAGCGACGCCGCGUGGAGGAAGAAGGUUUUCGGAUUGUAAACUCCUGUCGUUAGGGACGAUAAUGACGGUACCUAACAAGAAAGCACCGGCUAACUACGUGCCAGCAGCCGCGGUAAAACGUAGGGUGCAAGCGUUGUCCGGAAUUACUGGGUGUAAAGGGAGCGCAGGCGGGAAGACAAGUUGGAAGUGAAAACCAUGGGCUCAACCCAUGAAUUGCUUUCAAAACUGUUUUUCUUGAGUAGUGCAGAGGUAGAUGGAAUUCCCGGUGUAGCGGUGGAAUGCGUAGAUAUCGGGAGGAACACCAGUGGCGAAGGCGGUCUACUGGGCACCAACUGACGCUGAGGCUCGAAAGCAUGGGUAGCAAACAGGAUUAGAUACCCUGGUAGUCCAUGCCGUAAACGAUGAUUACUAGGUGUUGGGGGAUUGACCCCCUCAGUGCCGCAGUUAACACAAUAAGUAAUCCACCUGGGGAGUA
rnacentral:rRNA from 1 species